rnacentral:lncRNA from 8 species
AUGAUUUUUUGGUUUAACAUUUGGCUACAAAGGUGGAGGUAGAAACCCAAUGUUAUGCAUGUCUCCAGCAAGUGAAGGUCUCUAAAGUGACUUCCAAUAUCGAUGGGAAUGUGUUGGGAAUAUGUUGUUUUCUUGGUUUUCAGUUUUUCUAGCUGAUGUUUAACGAUGUAAGUUGUCCUCCGACCAAGUGACUGGCGAAAAAAACGUUCAGUCUUUGAAGAUUUAUUUCCAAACGUUGUGCGCUUGAGCACAGUCCUUAGAAAUCACACCUCACGAACAACGCCGAGCAACCGCUUCAUCAAGGCUUGGAAUUGACUCUUAAGGACCGCUUGAGUGCUCAAAGUUUCUUUCUUUAAAAAUGUUUAGCUAACGUUAGCUACCGUUACUUUUAUUUUGGUGUUCUGCAAUAGCUCUAAUUUGCCAAUGUCGAGGUAUAAACGGUACCUCUGGGACCAUAGUGUCUAAGUCAACUAUAAGAUAUCGAUGAAGCGAUGUAAAUAACGUUAGCUAGUUAGCUUGCCUAACCUUAGCCUCUAAUAUCUCUGAAUAAAAUUAUUAUUUGUUGUAGAAGAACUGCACGGAUGCUCAAUUGAACUUGGACCAGUAUGAUGUGGAUGAAAAUAGCCAGGAAACAUUAGACCCACUAGGGGAACCUUGUGAAUGCCCAACUAAACUUGGACCAUGAUGAAGGAAUAAAACGUGAGAAGCAGGGGAACAUCAGGAAUACUGGACUAGACUAGGACCACGAUGAAGACAUGGAUGAUGAUGGCCAGGCAACAUUUGAAGAUGAAGACCCCUCAGACGAAAGAGAGCAAGAGGCAUAUGGAAGACCGCUCUUUGACAGAUCAAGCCUUACUGUUGGUGGUGCUAUUGUUCUCAUCAUGUGUUUUGUUGUAUGAUUCAAUCUGGCAUGGCUUGCUCUGCAAGGGCUACUUACGUUGCUCUCUGCAUUGAAGCCAAACUCUAAUCUGCUUACCACAAAGUACCUGUUCAUAAGUUUUCAAAGUAUGUAAGGCUAUAGUGGAGUUUCAUUUUGUUUGCCCUGAAUGUUCUACACACAUAGGUCCUAACUCUAAUGCUAUGUGCAGUUCUUGCCAUACAGAGACAAGGUCGAACACACUAUAAAAAAGUUUUUUCAUUGUAAUUCUAAUGAAGCAGCAACUACGUGACAUGUUUGAGAAUAGCAAUCUGUUGGAUCUUAUCACAUAAUCUGAGGAAAACAUUGAAGGCAAUUAUGAUGUUAAACAAUACAAAACUAUUGAAGCAUUAUCUGAUGUAAACUAUAUUUCAUUGACAUGGAAUUCUGAUGGUGCAUCAGUUUUCAAAUCGCCAAGAUGUCCAUAUGGCCUAUACACUUUGUUAUUAAUGAGUUGCCCUUUAAGAU